rnacentral:rRNA from 1 species
AACCUGCCCAAGAGAUCGGGAUAACACCUGGAAACAGAUGCUAAUACCGGAUAACAACAGAUGAUGCCUAUCAACUGUUUAAAAGAUGGUUCUGCUAUCACUCUUGGAUGGACCUGCGGUUCAUUAGCUAGUUGGUAGGGUAACGGCCUACCAAGGCGAUGAUGCAUAGCCGAGUUGAGAGACUGAUCGGCCACAUUGGGACUGAGACACGGCCCAAACUCCUACGGGAGGCAGCAGCC